UGAGGUUGGAUAUACUCUUUCUAAG
rnacentral:misc_RNA from 1 species